rnacentral:rRNA from 1 species
AUUGAACGCUGGCGGCAGGCCUAACACAUGCAAGUCGAGCGGAUGAAGGGAGCUUUCUCCUGGAUUCAGCGGCGGACGGGUGAGUAAUGCCUAGGAAUCUGCCUGGUAGUGGGGGAUAACGUCCGGACACGGGCGCUAAUAUCGCAUACGUCCUGAGGGUGAAAGGGGGGGAUCUUUGGACCUCGCGCUAUCUGAUGAGCCUAGGACGGAUUAGCUAGUUGGUGGGGUAAAGGCGUACCAAGGCGACGAUCCGUAACCGGUCUGAGAGGAUGAUCAGCCACACUGGAACUGAGACACGGUCCAGACUCCUACGGGAGGCAGCAGUGGGGAAUAUUGGACAAAGGGCGAAAGCCUGAUCCAGCCAUGCCGCGUGUGUGAAGAAGGUCUUCGGAUUGUAAAGCACUUUAAGUUGGGAGGAAGGGCAGUAAGUUAAUACCUUCCUGUUUUGACGUUACCAACAGAAUAAGCACCGGCUAACUUCGUG